AGCAGCCGCGGUAAUUCCAGCUCCAAUAGCGUAUAUUAAAGUUGUUGCAGUUAAAAAGCUCGUAGUUGAAUUUCGGGGUUCAUCCGUUGGUCGGGCUUUUUUGGGUCUGUACUGGCGUGAUGGAUUCCUACCUUCUGAAUAACCAGCAUGUCAUUAAUUUGGUGCGUUGGGGAAGCAGGACUGUUACCUUGAAAAAAUUAGAGUGCUUAAAGCAGGCUAUCGCCUGAAUACAUUAGCAUGGAAUAAUGAAAUAGGACGGCAUGGUUCUAUUUUGUUGGUUUCUAGGAUCACUGUAAUGAUUAAUAGGGAUAGUUGGGGGCAUUAGUAUUCAAUUGUCAGAGGUGAAAUUCUUGGAUUUAUUGAAGACUAACUUCUGCGAAAGCAUUUGCCAAGGAUGUUUUCAUUAAUCAAGAACGAAAGUUAGGGGAUCGAAGACGAUCAGAUACCGUCGUAGUCUUAACCAUAAACUAUGCCGACUAGGGAUCGGAUGAUGUUAAUUUUUUAAUGACUCAUUCGGCGC
rnacentral:rRNA from 1 species